CGGGGGUAGAGCACUGUUUAGGCUAGGGGGUCAUGGCGACUUACCAAACCUUAGCAAACUCCGAAUACCGCAGAGUACAGCUUGGGAGACAGAGCACCGGGUGCUAACGUCCGGACUCAAGAGGGAAACAACCCAGACCGCCAGCUAAGGUCCCUAAAAUUGGCUAAGUGGGAAACGAAGUGGGAAGGCUAAAACAGUCAGGAUGUUGGCUUAGAAGCAGCCAUCAUU
rnacentral:rRNA from 14 species